rnacentral:RNase_P_RNA from 1 species
UAAAGGGCAAGGGUGAAAAGGUAGGGUAAGAGCCUACCGAAUGCGGUGUGAAUCGCAUGUCUGGCAAACCCCAUCCGGAGCAAGAUCGAAUAGAGGGGGAGGAAGCUGCCCGCUGACCCUUGGGUCGGUCGCUCGAGGAGCGCCGCGAGGCGUUUCGGAGAUAAAUGGCUAUCUGAACACAGAACCCGGCUUACGAACUGCUCAUUUUU